rnacentral:rRNA from 1 species
GACGAACGCUGGCGGCGUGCUUAACACAUGCAAGUCGAACGGAAAGGCCCUGCUUUUGUGGGGUGCUCGAGUGGCGAACGCGUGUGUAACACGUGAGUAACCUGCCCUUGACUUUGGGAUAACUUCAGGAAACUGGGGCUAAUACCGGAUAGGAGCUCCUGCUGCAUGGUGGGGGUUGGAAAGUUUCGGCGGUUGGGGAUGGACUCGCGGCUUAUCAGCUUGUUGGUGGGGUAGUGGCUUACCAAGGCUUUGACGGGUAGCCGGCCUGAGAGGGUGACCGGCCACAUUGGGACUGAGAUACGGCCCAGACUCCUACGGGAGGCAGCAGUGGGGAAUAUUGCACAAUGGGCGGAAGCCUGAUGCAGAAACGACGCGUGCGGGAUGCCGGCCUUCGGGGUGUAAAACUCUUUCGCCGGUGAAGAAGAGUGAGGGACGGUAAUGGGUAAAAAAGCAACGGCUAACUACGUU